UAACCCUAACCCCUUGGUGAUCGACGGCAACCCCUUUCCCUCCCUCGAAGCCUCUCCUGCUCGAGCAAUCCUACCUCCAUCUUGUAUCUCGGCUUUGACUGAUUAAGUGUGAACAAGUAUCUUAUCUUACCGAGCAAAUCAAAGGUCCAUAGGGUUAUAUCAUCUGGAACUUGCUGUCUAGAAGGCUGGAGUGGUCAUGGGUCGAGAAACAUGGAAUCGCAACACAAGUCUAAUGGUUUACGUACGCGUGGUUUAUGAAACACUUAACAAAUGAGUUAUGCUUUCACUGUGUACAAUGAAUUAUAUGUAACGUUUUGUAAUACUUUAUGUUAAUGAAUGAAAACU